rnacentral:rRNA from 1 species
AGUGAACGCUGGCGGUAGGCCUAACACAUGCAAGUCGAACGGCAGCACAGUAAGAGCUUGCUCUUACGGGUGGCGAGUGGCGGACGGGUGAGGAAUACAUCGGAAUCUACUUUUUCGUGGGGGAUAACGUAGGGAAACUUACGCUAAUACCGCAUACGACCUACGGGUGAAAGCAGGGGAUCUUCGGACCUUGCGCGAUUGAAUGAGCCGAUGUCGGAUUAGCUAGUUGGCGGGGUAAAGGCCCACCAAGGCGACGAUCCGUAGCUGGUCUGAGAGGAUGAUCAGCCACACUGGAAAUGAGACACGGUCCAGAAUCCUACGGGAGGCAGCAGUGGGGAAUAUUGGACAAUGGGCGCAAGCCUGAUCCAGCCAUACCGCGUGGGUGAAGAAGGCCUUCGGGUUGUAAAGCCCUUUUGUUGGGAAAGAAAAGCAGCAGGUUAAUACCCCGCUGUUCUGACGGUACCCAAAGAAUAAACACCGGCUAACUUCGU